GGACUACUGGGGUAUCUAAUCCUGUUUGAUCCCCACGCUGUCGCGCCUGAGCGUCAGUUACGAGCCAGUGAGCCGCCUUCGCCACCGGUGUUCUUCCCAAUAUCUACGAAUUUCACCUCUACACUGGGAAUUCCACUCACCUCUCUCGUACUCCAGUCUCACAGUUUCAAUGGCAAUUCCGGAGUUGAGCUCCGGGCUUUCACCACUGACUUGGAAGACCGCCUGCGCGCGCUUUACGCCCAGUAAUUCCGAACAACGCUAGCCCCCUUCGUAUUACCGCGGCUGCUGGCAC
rnacentral:rRNA from 1 species